rnacentral:tRNA from 1 species
CAAAAUGUAGCUUAAACAAAGCAUCUCGCUUACACCGAGAAAAUGCCUGAUAAAAUCAGACCAUUUUGA